AACUUUGUGCAGUAGCAGUAUGGUAGCCAAUGAGGUUUAUCUGAGGUGCAAUUAUUGCUAAUUGAAAACUUUUCCCUAAAAAAAUUCAAACGACUGAACUGUGAAAAAAAAUUAAAGAUAAU
ensembl:snRNA LOC120099549 U4 spliceosomal RNA